AUUUUAAUUAAAAUGUGAGUGUAGUUUCAAAACAAAUUUUAAGUUUAUACUCAAAACAAGUUGAUCUACUCAACCCUCGGUAAAAAGAGUGAGGUGAGCCGAUGCGACGCAUAGCUAAUGUAAGAAAGGGGUUAAUUUGGGAUUCCAGAAGCUUAAAACCAGAAGAUUACACCGGAGCACGAGGAUUAAAGUUGUAGAUUUUACAAUGUAUUCAGAAAAUCUGUUCAUAGGAGAUUUAGUCGCCUCUGGAUUGUCCGGUGGUAUUGCCCUUUCUAUGCUUCGAUUGUGGGAAGAAACAGCCAAAAGAGGUUUCUUCGAUCAG